rnacentral:rRNA from 1 species
UUCGCAAUGCCCGAAAGGGUGACGAAGCGACGCCGCGUGUGGGAAGAAGGCCUUCGGGUUGUAAACCACUGUCGGGAGUUAAGAAAUGCAAGGAUAUUAAUAGUGUCUUUGUUUGACUAAGGCUCCGGAGGAAGCCACGGCUAACUCUGUGCCAGCAGCCGCGGUAAUACAGAGGCGGCAAGCGUUGUUCGGAAUUAUUGGGCGUAAAGAGCACGUAGGCGGCUAUGUAAGUCGGUUGUGAAAGCCUUCCGCUCAACGGAAGAACAGCAUCCGAUACUACAUGGCUUGAGUGCGGGAGGGGAGAGUGGAACUUCUGGUGGAACGGUGAAAUGCGUAGAUAUCAGAGGGAACGCCGGCGGCGAAAGCGGCUCUCUGGCCCAUAACUGACGCUGAGUGUGCGAAAGCUAGGGGAGCAAACGGGAUUAGAUACCCCGGUAGUCCUAGCCGUAAACGAUGGGCACUAAGUAGAGGGGUUUU